UCGACGAUUAAAGCACCUUCGGGUGUGUAUAGAGUGGCGAACGGGUGAUUAANNNGUGACCAACCUGCCUCUUACAUUGGGACAACCAAAAGAAAUUCUGGCUAAUACCAAAUACUCCGCACAUAUCACAUGAUGUAUGCGGGAAAGCUUUUGCGGUAAGAGAUGGGGUCGCGGCCCAUUAGGUAGACGGCGGGGUAGAAGCCCACCGUGCCGAUGAUGGGUAGCCGGGUUGAGAGACCGACCGGCCACAUUGGGACUGAGAUACGGCCCAGACUCCUACGGGAGGCAGCAGUGGGGAAUAUUGCGCAAUGGGGGAAACCCUGACGCAGCAACGCCGCGUGCGGGAUGAAGGCCUUCGGGUUGUAAACCGCUUUCAGCAGGGAAGACAUCGACGGUACCUGCAGAAGAAGCCCCGGCUAACUACGUGCCAGCAGCCGCGGUAAUACGUAGGGGGCGAGCGUUAUCCGGAUUCAUUGGGCGUAAAGCGCGCGCAGGCGGUUGCUCAAGCGGAACCUCUAAUCUCGGGGCUUAACCUCGAGCCGGGUUCCGAACUGGACGACUCGAGUGCGGUAGAGGCAGAUGGAAUUCCCGGUGUAGCGGUGGAAUGCGCAGAUAUCGGGAA
rnacentral:rRNA from 1 species